rnacentral:lncRNA from 1 species
AAAUCCUUAAGUGUCUUGUUCCCUAUGAGAGGUAAACAGUCAAAGAUAAUUACUUUUACUUUCAGAAAAGUAUUACUUUAAUAUACCUUGUACGAGUUAAAAAGAAAAAAAAACUAAAGUCAAAAGUUGGACUGUGUUCUAGACCACGAGUAAUGUUUGCAUCUUAUACAGAUUCAAGUCACGGAAAAUCUAUAUCGUGUAUCUUUUCAAUAAAUUACAUUUGGUGCUCCUCCAAAAAUUAGACACUGUCAAUAAGGCAGAUCGAAUUAAUAAAAAAUAAGACCAUAGUGGCUAGUUUCUUACAGCUAUAGGAGACAAAGAUGACAACACCUCACUCACACACACUAUCUGAAACCUCUCGUCCCAAGCAGGGGCGCAGAAAACCAGAGCCUAACCUGGCAACACUGGGCACAAGGCUGGAGGGGGAGGGGACACACCCAGGACAGGAUGCCCAUUCGUCACAAGGCACCCCAAGUGGGACUUGACCCCCAGACCCACUGGAGAGCAGGCACAGGCUAAACCUGCUGUGCUACUACACCACCCAACAACACAUCACCCACACUUUCUGAACCGCUUGUCCCAUAGGGGCUCACAGGGAACCGGAGCCUACCCAGCAACACAGGGCGUAAGGCCGGAGGGGACACACCCAGGACGGGACGCCAGUCCGUCACAAGGCACCCCAAGUGGGACUCGAACCCCAGACCCACUGGAGAGCAGGACCUGGUCCAACCCACUGCACCACCGCACCCCCAACAACAUAUCAUGUGAGGAAACAGAUGGCUUUUCCAUUUACCGAGAUGGAAGUUUUGACAAUUGCGUUUUCGCUUGUGGUGUUCAGUUUGUUCACGGCAAGCGGAAUGUUCAAAGAGAAAUGCGCGCAUAUCAAAGACAGAGAAAGCCAAAGCUGUGGUCUGGGCGAGGACCUGAUCCUGGUCUGACAUGCUAAUGAAGCCCAAAGCCGACAUCAGAAAGACAUUUUUAUCUGAACCUGUUUAUUUAUUUAUUUUGUUGGACACCUAAUUCACCUGGAAUCAUUUCACUGACAUUCAAAGUCUCCUUCUAUGAUACAUGAAGUUUCACAAUAAAAAAACCAUUAAAGAAAAAUGAACA